CAGCCGCCGCGGGAAAACGUAGGUGGCAAGCGUUGUCCGGAAUUAUUGGGCGUAAAGCGCGCGCAGGCGGAUAGGUCAGUCUGUCUUAAAAGUUCGGGGCUUAACCCCGUGAUGGGAUGGAAACUGCCAAUCUAGAGUAUCGGAGAGGAAAGUGGAAUUCCUAGUGUAGCGGUGAAAUGCGUAGAUAUUAGGAAGAACACCAGUGGCGAAGGCGACUUUCUGGACGAAAACUGACGCUGAGGCGCGAAAGCCAGGGGAGCGAACGGGAUUAGAGACCCCAGUAGUCCCUGUCUCUUAUACA
rnacentral:rRNA from 1 species